rnacentral:tRNA from 1 species
GGGGUUGUAGCUCAGUGGUAGAGCACUUGCCUAGCACAUGUGAGGCACUGGGUUCGAUUCUCAGCACCA